rnacentral:rRNA from 1 species
AGGAAAAGAAACUAACAAGGAUUCCCCUAGUAACGGCGAGUGAAGAGGGAAGAGCCCAAGUUUGAAAGCUGGCGUCUUCGGCGUCCGCAUUGUAAACUCGAGAAGCGUUUUCCGCGCCGGACCAAGCUCAAGUCCCUUGGAAUAGGGCAUCAUAGAGGGUGAGAGUCCCGUACUUGGCUUGGAGUCCCCGGGGCUUUGUGAUACGCUCUCCAAGAGUCGAGUUGUUUGGGAAUGCAGCUCAAAAUGGGUGGUAAAUGCCAUCUAAGGCUAAAUAUCGAGGAGAGACCGAUAGCGAACAAGUACCGUGAGGGAAAGAUGAAAAGAACUUUGGAAAGAGAGUUAAACAGUACGUGAAAUUGCCGGAAGGGAAGGGUAGGGAGUCAGAUAUGCUGUGCGGAUUCAGCCUUGUCUUUGGACUUGGUGUAUUUUCGUAUUGGCAGGCCAGCAUCGGUUUGUGCCGCUGGAUAUAGGCUUGGGGAAUGUGGCUUUGUCUUCGGUCAAAGUGUUAUAGCCCCUUGCUGAGUACAGCGGCAUGGACCGAGGCACGCAGCGCACCCUCUGGGCGGGCCCUCGGGCACCUUUGCGCUUAGGAUGCUGGCUUAAUGGCUCUCUGCCACCCG